GACGAACGCUGGCGGCGUGCCUAAUACAUGCAAGUCGAACGCAGUGGGGACGGGUGAGUAACACGUGGGUAACCUCCCAUCAGAGGGGAUAACACUUGGAGACAGAUGCUAAACCUAUACUGAUGGAUGAACCCGCGGUGCAUUAGCUAGUUGGUAAGGUAACGGCUCACCAAGGCCACGAUGCAUAGCCGACCCGAGAGGGUGAUCGGCUACCCUGGUACGGAGAGACGGCCCAGACUCCUACGGUAGGCAGCAGUAGGGAAUCUUCGGCAAUGGACGAAAGGCUGAUCGAGCAAAGCCGCGUGAGUGAAGAAGGUUUUCGGAUCGUAAAACUCUGUUGUUAGAGAAGCGGUAUCUAACCAGAAAGCCACGGCUAACUACGUGCCAGCCGCCGCGGUAAUUC
rnacentral:rRNA from 1 species